CAAUAACUCAUUGACUCUGUUCUUGAAGGGAAAUAGAGGAGCUGUGAGAGAGAUGGCUGAUACCUCCGUCUAUAUCCAUGAGAACAUCACGUGGCUCAACCAUCUCGCUGAUCUAACAGGACCAACCUGCGAGGCUUUUUUCUACCUCUGCCAUUUAAAAGCCUCCUCUCCGAUUCCCCGUAUCAGUAAAGAUGGAUAUCAGCAACAACAACUGAGUAGUAAAAAUAAUCUCAACGGAAACUGGAUGUAAGACAGUGGUGAGAGUGUGAAGAUGACAGGAGCGGGUACUCCAGAAACUGCAUCCUGAGAAGCCUUCUGCCAUUCGGGGGUAACUGGAUUCCUCAGAAAGGAAGCUAACUGAAAGGACAAGGUUGCCAUUUUACUUUUAGCACAGAAAUUGGCUCGAGGCUGGCGCUCUUAUCAUUAAUCCAGCCCCAGGUGCCCACCAACGUGUGCCUGGACUGCAUGGAAGAAGUUUGGGACCCUGAUGUCCAAACUCGGUCUGUAACUAAGUACUUCUACUUAGAGCGACACAAACGUGACCCUUUACCAUCAGAAUCCGUCGACUCUGUUCACCCUCGAUUCCAGCCAAACCUUCGCGCCCGAGCCCUCGCUCCCUCUCCCUCCAACUCCGGGUCACCGACCCCACAGGCGGGGGCAAAGCUCUGGGCCGCGGGCAGUCCUCAGUCCAGCCGGGCGGGGGCGGCGGCGCCCACAGCAGGACACCCCGGGAGGGGGUGGGGCACGGGCCGGCGGGAGCCCCGAGCCCGCAGCUGCCGAGGCCCGGGCGCU
ensembl:lncRNA